rnacentral:rRNA from 1 species
AGAGUUUGAUCCUGGCUCAGAUUGAACGCUGGCGGCAGGCUUAACACAUGCAAGUCGAGCGGAGAUGAGGUGCUUGCACCUUAUCUUAGCGGCGGACGGGUGAGUAAUGCUUAGGAAUCUGCCUAUUAGUGGGGGACAACAUUCCGAAAGGAAUGCUAAUACCGCAUACGUCCCACGGGAGAAAGCAGGGGAUCUUCGGACCUUGCGCUAAUAGAUGAGCCUAAGUCGGAUUAGCUAGUUGGUGGGGUAAAGGCCUACCAAGGCGACGAUCUGUAGCGGGUCUGAGAGGAUGAUCCGCCACACUGGGACUGAGACACGGCCCAGACUCCUACGGGAGGCAGCAGAAGGG